UCUAAAUACCGUUGGACCGAAGGCUGAGCUCAAUGAAGCCCUUCCAAAUAGCUGAAGUAGGAUGGGGCAGGUAGUCCCUUCCUUAUCUAAGAGCUUUGCUCUAUCGCCAUUGUUCUGAGUCUUGCUCGGCUAUUGGAUUCUUGGCCCACCUCACACUACCUUAACCCCCUCUUUGUACUAGCGCAGAAAAGUCCUAAGGAAAGCAAAUGACAUAGAAUAAGAUGUCAUCUCAUGCCCUCUUUGAAUGGCUUAUUCAAGAAGGGAAGGGAUUGCUGCUCAUAGAAAGAAAACGCUCUUGGUGAAUCCAGACAAAUGCUAUCGAAUUAGCUGCUUGAG
rnacentral:lncRNA from 1 species